UGCACCACGUUCAAGCCUGAGAAAGUCCCA
rnacentral:piRNA from 1 species